AAAAUACGGGAGGCAGCAGUGGGGAAUAUUGCACAAUGGGCGAAAGCCUGAUGCAGCAACGCCGCGUGAAGGAAGAAGGCUUUCGAGUCGUAAACUUCUGUCCAAAGGGAAGAAUAAUGACGGUACCUUUGAAGAAAGCCCCGGCUAACUACGUGCCAGCAGCCGCGGUAAUUUUU
rnacentral:rRNA from 1 species